UACGUAGGUGGCAAGCGUUGUCCGGAAUUAUUGGGCGUAAAGCGCGCGCAGGCGGUCUCUUAAGUCUGAUGUGAAAGCCCCCGGCUUAACCGGGGAGGGUCAUUGGAAACUGGGAGACUUGAGUGCAGGAGAGGGAAGCGGAAUUCCAUGUGUAGCGGUGAAAUGCGUAGAGAUAUGGAGGAACACCAGUGGCGAAGGCGGCUUCCUGGCCUGUAACUGACGCUGAGGCGCGAAAGCGUGGGGAGCAAACAGGAUUAGAUACCCUGGUAGUCCACGCCGUAAACGAUGAGUGCUAAGUGUUAGGGGGUUUCCACCCCUUAGUGCUGCAGCUAACGCAUUAAGCACUCCGCCUGGGGAGUACGGUCGCAAGACUGAA
rnacentral:rRNA from 1 species